rnacentral:rRNA from 1 species
UUCGCAAUGCCCGAAAGGGUGAACGAGCGACGCCGCGUGCGGGAUGAAGGCCUUCGGGUUGUAAACCGCUUUUGCAAGGGAAAAAUUUAAUGAUGGUACCUUGCGAAUAAGAGGUUACUAACUCUGUGCCAGCAGUAGCGGUAAUACGUAUGGUGCGAACGUUGUUCGGAAUCACUGGGCAUAAAGAGCACGUAGGCGGUUGAGCAAGUCCAUUGUGAAAUCCCCCGGCUUAACCGGGGAACUGCAGUGGAUACUACUUGACUUGAGUGCAGGAGGGGAGAGUGGAAUUCCAGGUGGAGCGGUGAAAUGCGUAGAUAUCUGGAGGAACGCCGGUGGCGAAAGCGGUGCACUGGUGGAUUUCUGACGCUGAGGUGCGAAAGCCAGGGGAGCAAACGGGAUUAGAUACCCCGGUAGUCCUGGCCGUAAACGAUGGGCACUAAGUAGAGGGGUUUU